GACGAACGCUGGCGGCGUGCUUAACACAUGCAAGUCGAACGGAAAGGCCCUGCUUUUGUGGGGUGCUCGAUUGGCGAACGGGUGAGUAACACGUGAGUAACCUGCCCUUGACUUUGGGAUAACUUCAGGAAACUGGGGCUAAUACCGGAUAGGAGCUCCUGCUGCACGGUGGGGGUUGGAAAGUUUCGGCGGUUGGGGAUGGUCUCGCGGCUUAUCAGCCUGUUGGGGGGGUAGUGGGUUACACAGGCUUUGACGGGUAGCCGGCCUGGGAGGGUGACCGGGCACAAUGGGACUGAGGGAGGGCCCAGACUGCUACGUGAGGCAGCGGUGGGGAAUAUUGCACAGUGGGCGGAAGCCUGAGGCAGCAACGCCGCGUGCGGGAUGACGGCCUUCGGGUUGUAAACCGCUUUCGCCUGUGACGAAGCGUGAGUGACGGUAAUGGGUAAAGAAGCACCGGCUAACUACGUG
rnacentral:rRNA from 1 species